CAAGCGUUAACUCUCAAAGAACAAAAAUACACUGCCAGCACUGAACCAAAAUAGGUUUAAUAGUAUUACUAAAAUUUUUUUUUAAAAUCCUGAAAUCUCUACCUUUUUCCUCAGACUCCUACAGCCAACUGAAAUACUUCCCAGCAUGCUUGGUCAGAGAAGAUUCUAGGUGGAGACAUACAGAUCUGCAAGCUGGAGCUGAGGAGUUACUUCCCAAAACUGUUCAUCACAGCUGGAUUGAAAGAAUAUUUGGGAAAUGUGGCAAUGUUGUUUAUAUAAAUAGACGACACUGUAAGUCUACUAGAGAUCCAAAGACAUUUGCCUUGUGGAAUUUGGAACAAAAGAACAAGUAUCAAAAGCAAUUGAGAUAUAUUUAAAAAAAAAAAAAAUUGCAGGUCAAGACUUAUUAGUAAGUUGCAAGUAGCACUUGGAAAAGGAAAAACAAAGAACAGAAAGCAAAUACCAGAGCACACAGCAACUAACAAGAAAUGGUAAGUACUGCUUAAUAAAUGUUUGUGUAUAUAUACAGGUGUUCAGUAUUGUCAAAGAGAGGUCUGAAAAACAUUAAUAUCAUACCUUGGUAUAUGUUUUUCUGUAUUUCUUUCUGGCCCUAGCUCCUAAAACUUAGGCUGAAAUGAAGGUUUCACAGUAAAAUUAGAUGAUCAGGCUUUUUAUUUUAAACACAACUUUAGUUUAAAAGGUGUUUGUAUGAAGAUGCUCACUUACUCUAUACUAUAUGGGCAACUGCAUGGAAUCUGUGGUAACUAUUUCCCUCCUGCUCUGGCUUUAUGGCCAUACUGAGGCAAAAGGAAGUCUUAUGCCAAUAAAGACAGGCACUUUCACGUAAAUUUCACAUGGCACAUUUUUAACUCUUCCUACUACACAGUCACAUAGUUCUUUCUUUAAAAGUUUCUGUUCAUUCUGUCUACUUUCUUGGCUUCUCUUCUGUACUUCCAACGCC